rnacentral:sRNA from 1 species
AUAUCUCUCCGUACGGGAAGGAUGAGAAGCUUCGACUAAGGUUCGAUUCGAGCGCAGCGAGAAAGCGUUGUCGCAGGCAACGACCCGAAGGGCGAAGCGCG